GUGAAUCAUCAAAUUUUUGAACGCAAAUUGCACUCUCUUCGGAGAGUAUGCCUGUGUGAGGGUCAGCCUAAAAAAAAUCGAAAUCGUGGCUGUUUCGCGGUGGCGGUCGUCGGAAAUUGGGUUAUCUUAAAUCUUUGGUUUAAGCGACUUAAAAUAUUCUUUACGAUUCGAGGAACGUUUACAAGAUUUAUAUCUUUACAAGUUUAAGGUAUCGAUUGUAUUAGGCGUGGUCGUCAUAUCGGAACAUGUCGAUAAUUUGUCGUUAACUGA
rnacentral:misc_RNA from 1 species